GCCAGCGAGAUCUAACCCCCCCUUCUCCUUCAUCCCGGCUAAUCCUCCGAGCUAAUCUCCGCCAGUUGUGAGCGACAGCCAAGGCAGGAAAGGCAGGAAUAGUCAGACGGUUACGGCACAGAACACAGAACAGCCUUACACCAGCCGAGCCUUUCAAUGGGGGAAGAAGUGUCGGUGCUGUGAGAACAGCGAGACGUCCCAGGGCCGGAGAUCCACGGGGGGGAGGAACCAUGUGCACGACUAUGAUGGUCCUCACCACCAUCGCUCUCAUCCUGCGCCAGAAGUUCUCCAACAAAAUCAGACCGCAGAGAGUGGACGCAGAGAGAGACGUGCCAUACAUGAAGAGCAACGGAACGACAGAAAACCAAAAAUGACAGCAGCGACCGCUCACGCCGAGACUCCCGCUAGGAGUUUGAGAAAAAGGCAACAAACAACAACAAGGAGGCCUGUCUUGAUUGUGGCGUCCCUUUGUGCGUCCAGCUCUCAUCACUGGGCCACGAAGCAGCAGCUCUCAUCACAUUUCAGCUCAGAGGAAGAGGAAACCUGACAAACGCCGAAUCGACAACAUUCCUCAGAAAUGCUUCAGCACAGUGUGAAAAGAGGGUUUAACGUGACAGAAAUGUGCCUCCAUGUAAAAAUACUAAUUAAAAAGCCUCAGUUCUUUUUUCUUUCUUUGAUUAAUUGAAUUUGUGUUUCUAAUGUAUGGGCGAGGAGAGGGUAAGCUUUGGCUGGAGGAAGCAUAGCAUUUCAGAAGUGGCCUGUUGUCUCCGCACAUGCAGGACGAAGUCAUGCGUUGGACUGUUUGUAGCGUGUAGGGCCAUCCUGUGAACCUUAAAGCUUUUUGUCGUACUCACAGAUGAAGUCCAGUGAUUGAUUAAACCAAUGAAAGCCAACUAUGUGCAACUGAUUGUCUGUUUUGUUUUGUUGUUUUCUCAUAUGCAUGAAGAAUUAAAGUGUUUUAUUCUCCGGC